AUCUACCUAGUAGUACGGAAUAGCCAUUAGAAAUGGUGGGUAAUACUGUAUAAUCCCCGAGGGGGAAAGAUUUAUCGCUAUUAGAUGAGCCUACGUUAGAUUAGCUAGUUGGUGAGGUAAUGGCUUACCAAGGCUAUGAUCUAUAGCUGGUCUGAGAGGACGAUCAGCCACACUGGAACUGAGAUACGGUCCAGACUCCUACGGGAGGCAGCAGUGGGGAAUAUUGGACAAUGGGCGAAAGCCUGAUCCAGCUAUGCCGCGUGAG
rnacentral:rRNA from 1 species